UUUGACCGUGGUGAGGUCUUUCAAGAAUUUUGUAUAGGAGGGAAUUUGUCUUAUGGCAUCGAGAAAGGGUAUAUUUAUCCGAACAGUUUUAAAGACUUCCAUGAUUUCAUCAAAGUUAGAUUGUUUCUUCGAGUCCUGAAGUCUACUGGGAAAGGAAACCUUGGGUUUGUAUGUUUCUAUAGGUUCUUCCCUUUUUCCGGUUUGUCCUGUUCUUGACCCCUCUUCUGAAUAGGGUUCUUAUCGGAUUCAGA
rnacentral:lncRNA from 1 species